UUGUGACACGUCGGACGCCAGGUCAGAAAUUCGGCUUCAGACUGCUCGACACGUGUCCUGUAUUCUGAUCCGCAGCGUUUCAUUAAUUUUGGUCGGCUUAUGGGCUUCGUUUUUACGGGCCUUAUCUGUAUUCUCAAAAUCUUUCCAGCCCGAAUCCAGUAUGUCUAAGUUUAAACCCGUAUUAACUGUCGUUUUGCAAUUAGGAUUGAAGCGUACUUCUCCGCCGUUGGAGAUCGAGGCUUAACCUGUGCUCCAAGAGCGAGCGUUUCAUCUUCUUCCUUAUCAAUCUGCAGUGAUACCGGCCCUCUUCAACUCUUUCUUAAAUACAUACCCAUGAUCUCUCUUGAAUGCGAUCUUAACUCAUGAAAGGCGGUUGAAUUUCGACUAUAAAGGGUAUGGCUGAUGCUAUUCCACCUUUCAAGUGUGGUUGCUCUGUUAUUGGGAGGCCAGGAACAUCAGAUGCGGUGGCGAACUCAUGGGAGUCGAUAUGUUGCUGCUUGAUUCCCAGGUUGUAAAGAAAGAUGAAGAUGUGAAAGUGAUUGUAGCGGGUGAUGACGAUUGGUUGCCUCCGUCACCAAAGGUUGUAUUCGAUGAAAGCAAAGAGUUAGGUGGAGAGUCUACCAUUAAAGCUGUGAGGUAGUUUUGUAUGUGUUGAGUAUUUUUCCAUCUAUGUGCUUACCAGCUUCAUAUUAGAAGCCACGGUGUGAAGACUGCUAGCUUUAAUUUGCUCCUUGGUGAUAUCAUCCAAAUAGUUUCUGUGUUAUACUUUGAUUCUUAAGUUUUGAAUUGAAAUAUCCAAUGUAUUAGAAGCUAUGAUUUUGUAUGUAUGUGCUUCUUAUGUUUCUAUUAGAAGCUACUAUUUUUUC